GAGGGUAUAGCUUUGUGGUACAGUGUGUGUUUAGCAUGCACGAGGUCCUGGGUUCAACCCCUAGCACCUCCA
rnacentral:tRNA from 1 species